rnacentral:rRNA from 1 species
GACGAACGCUGGCGGCGUGCCUAACACAUGCAAGUCGAGCGAUGAAGCUCCUUCGGAAGUGGAUUAGCGGCGGACGGGUGAGUAACACGUGGGUAACCUGCCUCAUAGAGGGGAAUAGCCUUCCGAAAGGAAGAUUAAUACCGCAUAAGAUUGUAAUAUCGCAUGAUAUAGCAAUUAAAGGAGCAAUCCGCUAUGAGAUGGACCCGCGUCGCAUUAGCUAGUUGGUGAGGUAACGGCUCACCAAGGCGACGAUGCGUAGCCGACCUGAGAGGGUGAUCGGCCACAUGGGGACGGAGACACGGCCCAGGCUCCUACGGGGGGCAGCAGUGGGGAAUAUUGCACAAUGGGGGAAACCCUGAUGCAGCAACGCCGCGUGAGUGAUGACGGUCUUCGGAUUGUAAAGCUCUGUCUUUAGGGACGAUAAUGACGGUACCUAAGGAGGAAGCCACGGCUAACUACGUGCCAGCAGCCGCCGUAACAC